AGGAACUCCACAGACACAGGAGGAAAGGCACUACACAAACAACCGCCGUGAACCGCCGUCGGACGAGAGAGUGAGAGAACCAAUCGAGAGAGAGAGAGGCUAGAGAGGGUCGAAUGGACGGACAGGAUCAAAGCCCCAGAUCGGACGGCCAGGGACGUGGCUAAGGAAAAAGACGCGGAUCCUAGUCGGGUCGGAUCAGGACGUGGGUCAAGGUCGGGAGGCAUAAGGUCAGACUGUCAGUAUGUAUGCGGAUGGUCCAAGUUGGGAUGAAGUCGGGCGGACGGUCGAAGUCGGGACGGUCCAAGCCAGGACGAAGUCGGGACGGUCCAAGCCAGGACGAAGUCGGGACGGUCCAAGCCAGGACGAAGUCGGGACGGUCGGUCGAAAUCAGACGAAGUCAUGCGGACAGAGUCGGACGGAUGGUGAGGUCGGGACAUGGGCCAGGCCCGAAUGCGCUCGGGCUGCGAGACGAGUGUGUAUUUGUGUAUUUAUUCGGGGUGGACCAUAAGGACAAAAAU